UACGUAGGGCGCAAGCGUUGUCCGGAAUUAUUGGGCGUAAAGAGCUCGUAGGCGGCUUGUCACGUCGAUUGUGAAAGCCCGGGGCUUAACUCCGGGUCUGCAGUCGAUACGGGCUAGCUAGAGUGUGGUAGGGGAGAUCGGAAUUCCUGGUGUAGCGGUGAAAUGCGCAGAUAUCAGGAGGAACACCGGUGGCGAAGGCGGAUCUCUGGGCCAUUACUGACGCUGAGGAGCGAAAGCGUGGGGAGCGAACAGG
rnacentral:rRNA from 1 species